rnacentral:tRNA from 1 species
GCGCCCGUAGCUCAGCUGGAUAGAGCGUCCGCCUCCGAAGCGGAAGGUCGCAGGUUCGAAUCCUGCCGGGCGUACCA